CCNUUAGAGGAAGUAAAAGUCGUAACAAGGUUUCCGUAGGUGAACCUGCGGAAGGAUCAUUAGUGAACGCCCUCACGGGCUUAUAACUAUUCCAAACCUCUGUGAACCGUGCCCUUCGGGGCUAUUUUACAAACAUGGUGUAAUGAACGUCAUAUAUCAUAACAAAACAAAACUUUCAACAACGGAUCUCUUGGCUCUCGCAUCGAUGAAGAACGCAGCGAAAUGCGAUAAGUAAUGUGAAUUGCAGAAUUCAGUGAAUCAUCGAAUCUUUGAACGCACCUUGCGCCCUCUGGUAUUCCGGAGGGCAUGCCUGUUUGAGUGUCAUGUAGACUCAAUCCCUCGGGUUUCCGAGGAGAUUGGACUUGGGUGUUGCCGCUCUGCCGGCUCGCCUUAAAAGACUUAGCGGGAUAGCACCGUAGUCGGCGUAAUAAGUUUCGUCGGUGAAGGUUGUGAUGACUGCUUACAAUCGCCCUCGGGCAAUUUUUGACUCUGACCUCAAAUCAGGUAGGACUACCCGCUGAACUUAAGCAUAUCAAUAAGCGGAGGAAAAGAAACUAACAAGGAUUCCCUUAGUAGCGGCGAGCGAAGCGGGAAGAGCUCAAAUUUGAAAGCUGGCGUCCUUCGGGCGUCCGCAUUGUAAUCUAUAGAGGCGUUUUCUGUGCUGGACCGUGUMAAA
rnacentral:rRNA from 1 species